UACGUAGGUGGCAAGCGUUGUCCGGAAUUAUUGGGCGUAAAGCGCGCGCAGGCGGUCCUUUAAGUCUGAUGUGAAAGCCCACGGCUCAACCGUGGAGGGUCAUUGGAAACUGGGGGACUUGAGUACAGAAGAGAAGAGUGGAAUUCCACGUGUAGCGGUGAAAUGCGUAGAGAUGUGGAGGAACACCAGUGGCGAAGGCGGCAUCCUGGACCGACACUGACACUGAGGAGCGAAGGCCAGGGGAGCAAACGGG
rnacentral:rRNA from 1 species